GACUGAUUGGCGCAACGGUAGCGCGUUCGACUCCAGAGAGCUCGCAGGAGUUCGUGAAAUCGAAAGGCUGGGCGUUCGAAUCGCUCAUCGGUCA